rnacentral:misc_RNA from 1 species
ACAUUUUGUUAAAAAUUUUCUACUUAUUGUUUUGCAUUGAAAAUUGGCAAUAGCAAAACUUCACGAAUGACUGACGUCCUUUGUCCCUUCUGCGACGCUGCGUCAAAUUCUUUAUUGAAGCACUCUACCGGUUAUCCAUUAUUGAUUUCUUGGAAUUUAAUUCUUUGGCUUAAAAUAAAAUACUUAAAAUGGCUGCACCAAAAACAAAGAUUUUCGUUGGUCACUUGCCAGAUGGAUGUUCGGAUGAAGAUCUUCGUCAGUUAUUUCAGAAGUAUGGCGAAGUCACUGAAUGUGAUGUUAUCAACAAAUAUGGGUUUGUGCAUAUGUCCACUCCAGAACAAGCAGUUGAAGCUGUAAAAAUGUUAAACAACUAUAAUCUCAUGGGAUCCACAAUCAGUGUUGAGCCUUCUAAGAGCAAAUUGCAUCCUGAACCUGGUGCACCAGGUCGUGCUAACAAACAGACAGUAAUGAGCCGCCGAGGAGGGCAGUCAAGAAACGGCUAUGGUCCCCCUCGAGGUGGUUUUGGUGGAAAUUACAAUGGUUAUGGAAGACGAUUCGAUGGCCCACCCAUGGGCGAUUCAUUCUUUGAUCGUCCCUUCGGUUACGGGCGUGACAGAAUGAGGCCAUAUCCUUCACCGUAUGAUCGUCGUAGCCCUCCUUUGCCCAUGAGAGAUGAAUUUUCUCGAAGACCCAUGCCACCUAUGGAUGCUGAUCCUUAUUCAAGAGCUAUGCCACCCAUGAGUAUGCGAGAUGAUCUAUAUGAAAGGCGUGCCAUGCCUGAACGCUCAGAUUAUUUGUAUUCUCGAAGAUCUCCCCCACCUCUUUCAUCAAUGAGGUCUCCUUAUUGGUAUGAUUCACCACAAAAUGGCACUUGAAGAUUCGUUCUUUCAUCCUGACAUGACUCGUAACUAACUUAAAUAGUUCUAACGUUGGAUCGAACUGGGGAAAACAAAUUGAAUUCUGAUCGAAAGAAAGCGAAAAAUGAUUAUCUUUCAGUUAGAGGUGUCACCAUUGGAGAGCGACAAUAGAAGUCUGGCCAUACCUGUAAUCUAUGCAUCAUUUCACAAAUUUUCAUUUCUUCUCAUUGCUAAAUCAAAUAAAAUAUAUUUUUUUAAAA